GGUAUACUUAAUGUUUUCAGCGGCGCG
rnacentral:sRNA from 1 species